GGAGUCUUCGUGAUUUCCAUAGAUAUCACUCCACAAGCAAGCUAAAUUAUUGUGAAUGAUUAUAGAGU
rnacentral:sRNA from 16 species